rnacentral:rRNA from 1 species
CAGGCCUAACACAUGCAAGUCGAACGGGCACCUUCGGGUGUCAGUGGCAGACGGGUGAGUAACACGUGGGAACGUGCCCUUCGGUUCGGAAUAACUCAGGGAAACUUGAGCUAAUACCGGAUACGCCCUUACGGGGAAAGGUUUACUGCCGAAGGAUCGGCCCGCGUCUGAUUAGCUAGUUGGUGGGGUAAUGGCCUACCAAGGCGACGAUCAGUAGCUGGUCUGAGAGGAUGAUCAGCCACACUGGGACUGAGACACGGCCCAGACUCCUACGGGAGGCAGCAGUGGGGAAUAUUGGACAAUGGGCGCAAGCCUGAUCCAGCCAUGCCGCGUGAGUGAUGAAGGCCUUAGGGUUGUAAAGCUCUCUCGACGGGGACGAUAAUGACGGUACCCGUAGAAGAAGCCCCGGCUAACUUCGUGCCAGCAGCCGCGGUAAU